GACGUAGGGCGCAAGCGUUGUCCGGAUUUAUUGGGCGUAAAGAGCUCGUAGGCGGCUUGCCACGUCUGCCGUGAAAACCCGCAGCUCAACUGCGGCUUGCGGUUGAUACGGGUGGGCUGGAGUUCGGUAGGGGAGACUGGAAUUCCUGGUGUAGCGGUGAAAUGCGCAGAUAUCAGGAGGAACACCGGUGGCGAAGGCGGGUCUCUAGUACGGUACUGACGCUGAGGCGCGAAAGCGUGGGUAGCAAACAGG
rnacentral:rRNA from 1 species